rnacentral:rRNA from 1 species
UUCCGGUUGAUCCUGCCGGACCUUACUGCUAUCGGGGUGGGACUAAGACAUGCGAGUCGAGCGUCUCUAGCUAUGUUGAGACGCGGCAGACGGCUCAGUAACACGUGGCUAACCUACCCUCAGGACGAGAAUAAACCCGGGAAACUGGGGCUAAUACUCGAUAGGUGAGGAUGUCUGGAAUGAUUUCUCACUCAAAGGGCCUUGGAAACAUGCUUCCAUUGUCGCCUGGGGAUGGGGCCGCGUCCGAUCAGGUUGUUGGUGAGGUAAUGGCUCACCAAGCCUAUAACCGGUACGGGCCGUGAGAGCGGUAGCCCGGAGAUGGGUACUGAGACAAGGACCCAGGCCCUACGGGGCGCAGCAGUCGCGAAAACUCCGCAAUGCACGAAAGUGUGACGGGGCUACCCCGAGUGCCGUCCGCUGAGGAUGGCUUUUCUUUGGUAUAACUAGCCGGGGGAAUAAGGAGAGGGCAAGACUGGUGUCAGCCGCCGCGGUAAUACCAGCUCUCCGAGUGGUAGGGAUGAUUAUUGGGCUUAAAGCGUCCGUAGCCGGCUUAGCAAGUCUCCUGUUAAAUUCAGCGACCUAAUCGUUGAGCCGCGGGAGAUACUACUAGGCUAGGAGGCGGGAGAGGUCGACGGUAUUUCCGGGGUAGGGGUGAAAUCCUAUAAUCCCGGGAGGACCACCAGUGGCGAAGGCUGUCGACUAGAACGCGCUCGACGGUGAGGGACGAAAGCUGGGGGAGCGAACCGGAUUAGAUACCCGGGUAGUCCCAGCCGUAAACGAUGCGGGCUAGGUGUUGGGGUGGCUACGUGCCACUUCAGUGCCGCAGGGAAGCCAUUAAGCCCGCCGCCUGGGGAGUACGGCCGCAAGGCUGAAACUUAAAGGAAUUGGCGGGGG